UACAGAGGUCCCGAGCGUUGUUCGGAUUCACUGGGCGUAAAGGGUGCGUAGGUGGUGAGGUAAGUCGGAUGUGAAAGCUCCAAGCUCAACUUGGAAAUGGCAUUGGAAACUACCUUGCUAGAGGGUUUGAGGGGGGGACUGGAAUACUUGGUGUAGCAGUGAAAUGCGUAGAUAUCAAGUGGAACACCAGUGGCGAAGGCGAGUCCCUGGACGACUCCUGACACUGAGGCACGAAAGCUAGGGGAGCAAACAGG
rnacentral:rRNA from 1 species